GGAGCGUGCUAUCAUGCAGUUGAGCGCUGAAGGUUGGUACUUGUACCGACUGGAUGAGCAGCGAACGGGUGAGUAACGCGUGGGGAAUCUGCCUUUGAGCGGGGGACAACAUUUGGAAACGAAUGCUAAUACCGCAUAACAACUUUAAACACAAGUUUUAAGUUUGAAAGAUGCAAUUGCAUCACUCAAAGAUGAUCCCGCGUUGUAUUAGCUAGUUGGUGAGGUAAAGGCUCACCAAGGCGAUGAUACAUAGCCGACCUGAGAGGGUGAUCGGCCACAUUGGGACUGAGACACGGCCCAAACUCCUACGGGAGGCAGCAGUAGGGAAUCUUCGGCAAUGGACGAAAGUCUGACCGAGCAACGCCGCGUGAGUGAAGAAGGUUUUCGGAUCGUAAAACUCUGUUGGUAGAGAAGAACGUUGGUGAGAGUGGAAAGCUCAUCAAGUGACGGUAACUACCCAGAAAGGGACGGCUAACUACGUGCCAGCAGCCGCGGUAAUACGUAGGUCCCGAGCGUUGUCCGGAUUUAUUGGGCGUAAAGCGAGCGCACGUGGUUUAUUAAGUCUGGUUGUAAAAGGCAGUGGCUCAACCAUUGUAUGCAUUGGAAACUGGUAGACUUGAGUGCAGGAGAGGAGAGUGGAAUUCCAUGUGUAGCGGUGAAAUGCAUAGAUAUAUGGAGGAACACCGGUGAGCGAAGGCUGGCUCUCUGGCCUUGUAACUGCACCACUGGAGGCUCUACAAGGCGUGGAGGAGCCAAACAGUGAUUUAGCAUACC
rnacentral:rRNA from 1 species